AUGCUGGGUCCUCGCCGGGGAGAUUUUGACUUAGCAGGCCAGGAGUGGGACCCUGGGGUCUGGGUUUCUAACCAGUGUGAUUCUGGUCAUCUGGCAGAUUUGGAGAUCUGGGCUGGGAAGCAACUUGCUGUUUUCUUGUCCCGUCCAGGGCAGGGGCCGAGCUCUCGCGGGUCACGAACCGCAGAAGCCGCGGUCGUCCCUGUGCUUUCCCGCAGUCGCCAGCCGCCACUCCCCGGUCUCCGCGGCAGCCGCUGCCCGAGCCCGCCCCGCGCCGCCCCCCCCCCCCCCCCCCCCCCCCCCCCCCCCCCCCCNNNNNNNNNNNNNNNNNNNNCCGCCCCCCGCCGCCCCCCGCCGCCCCCCGCCGCCCCCCGCCGCCCCGCGCCUCCCCGCCGCCGCGGUUUCCAUGGCGACCCGCGCCGCGCCGCUUCCACCCGGCAGUGUCCGGUUCCACCGCGCUGCCCCGGCGCCGGCCGCCGACCGAGACGGGGAUUCUUGUCUAGGACAGUCAGGCUAAGAAAUUCAGAUGCUUGCGACAGACGGACCGACCCGCUGGCUGAAAGAAUUCAUGAUUUGUACCUGCCUUAGUGAUUGACCUUUGGAUGCCCUUCCUUUACUGUCAGGUCCCGCCUUUCUCUCCAUGGGCUGCUGCCGCAGCUGAACCAGCUGGAGGACUUGCUCUAACCUGUGAGCUCUGGCUCAUUCUAUCAACCUCCCUUAGGAGAGGGCACCCCUUCUGGACGCGCUGGCGGUUCUGGUGGUCAACCCUUCGGCCUGGGCAUUCCCUCACAGGGCUCCACAGUCAGCAAGGCCCCGGUGUUUCAGCUAGUCAGGUCCACCCCAGGGGGCCUAUCAGCUUUUAUUUUUGGUUACCCAGGAUGACCGCCGGAUGACCGCUGAGUCAGGGUGCUUCCCCGGGGCAGUUUGGCUGUUUAGGAUGACCUGAGGCUAAAGGGGAAUCUAGACCUCUCAGGAGGCCGGUUGAUGUGCGAUGGGGGAGAAGUGGGGAGCGGCGCUGCUUUUACUUUUCACAGUAACCCAGUGGGGACCUAUUAUUAUGUAACUCCAUUGUACAGCAGAGGAAAGGGAGGCACAGAGAAUUCCAGAAACUUGCCCAGUGGUGGAGUCCAGAAUUAAACCCACACAGCGUCUGGCUUCCAAGCUCACAAUCGAUACUCUGAAUUUAGCUUCAUUUUCUUUUGCCCUAAUGGAGGUUUUAUUCAAGCCCUACCCCCUCAUUCAUUUAAUUUAAGUCAAUUCAUGCACUUAUUAACAGUGAGCUGUUUCAUUUCUGCCCCACCCCUUUGUUCCACUGGGUCGAACAUAACCAUAUCCAUUUUAUUGACUUUUGUAUCUGGCACACAGUAGGCUCUCAGGAAAGUUUGACAAAUGAAUAAAGAACAAAAAGAAUGAGUGUUUCA
rnacentral:lncRNA from 1 species